rnacentral:rRNA from 1 species
AGAGUUUGAUCUCUGGCUCAGGAUGAACGCCGGCGGUGUGCCUAAUACAUGCAAGUCGUACGCACUGGCCCAACUGAUUGAUGGUGCUUGCACCUGAUUGACGAUGGAUCACCAGUGAGUGGCGGACGGGUGAGUAACACGUAGGUAACCUGCCUCGGAGCGGGGGAUAACAUUUGGAAACAGAUGCUAAUACCGCAUAACAACAAAAGCCACAUGGCUUUUGUUUGAAAGAUGGCUUUGGCUAUCACUCUGGGAUGGACCUGCGGUGCAUUAGCUAGUUGGUAAGGUAACGGCUUACCAAGGCAAUGAUGCAUAGCCGAGUUGAGAGACUGAUCGGCCACAAUGGAACUGAGACACGGUCCAUACUCCUACGGGAGGCAGCAGUAGGGAAUCUUCCACAAUGGGCGCAAGCCUGAUGGAGCAACACCGCGUGGGUGAAGAAGGGUUUCGGCUCGUAAAGCUCUGUUGUUGGAGAAGAACGUGCGUGAGAGUAACUGUUCACGCAGUGACGGUAUCCAACCAGAAAGUCACGGCUAACUACGUGCCAGCAGCCGCGGUAAUACGUAGGUGGCAAGCGUUAUCCGGAUUUAUUGGGCGUAAAGCGAGCGCAGGCGGUUGCUUAGGUCUGAUGUGAAAGCCUUCGGCUUAACCGAAGAAGUGCAUCGGAAACCGGGCGACUUGAGUGCAGAAGAGGACAGUGGAACUCCAUGUGUAGCGGUGGAAUGCGUAGAUAUAUGGAAGAACACCAGUGGCGAAAGCGGCUCUCUGGUCUGUAACUGACGCUGAGGUUCGAAAGCAUGGGUAGCGAACAGGAUUAGAUACCCUGGUAGUCCAUGCCGUAAACGAUGAGUGCUAAGUGUUGGGAGGUUUCCGCCUCUCAGUGCUGCAGCUAACGCAUUAAGCACUCCGCCUGGGGAGUACGACCGCAAGGUUGAAACUCAAAGGAAUUGACGGGGGCCCGCACAAGCGGUGGAGCAUGUGGUUUAAUUCGAAGCAACGCGAAGAACCUUACCAGGUCUUGACAUCCAGUGCAAACCUAAGAGAUUAGGUGUUCCCUUCGGGGACGCUGAGACAGGUGGUGCAUGGCUGUCGUCAGCUCGUGUCGUGAGAUGUUGGGUUAAGUCCCGCAACGAGCGCAACCCUUGUCAUUAGUUGCCAUCAUUAAGUUGGGCACUCUAAUGAGACUGCCGGUGACAAACCGGAGGAAGGUGGGGAUGACGUCAAGUCAUCAUGCCCCUUAUGACCUGGGCUACACACGUGCUACAAUGGACGGUACAACGAGAAGCGAACCUGCGAAGGCAAGCGGAUCUCUUAAAGCUGUUCUCAGUUCGGACUGUAGGCUGCAACUCGCCUACACGAAGCUGGAAUCGCUAGUAAUCGCGGAUCAGCACGCCGCGGUGAAUACGUUCCCGGGCCUUGCACUCACCGCCCGUCA